ACGGUCCGUCCCCGUGCCCGUAAGCCCGCGCCAUGAGGCCGCAGCCGGCGCCCGUGUCAGGGAAGGUGUUCGUGCAGCGCGACUACAGCAGCGGCACCCGCUGCCAGUUCCAGACCAAGUUCCCGGCCGAGCUGGAGACGCGGAUCGAUCGGCAGCAGUUUGAAGAGACUGUGCGAACUCUGAAUAACCUAUAUGCAGAAGCCGAGAAACUUGGGGGCCAAUCUUAUCUCGAAGGUUGUCUGGCCUGCCUGACUGCCUACACUAUCUUCUUGUGCAUGGAGACACAUUAUGAAAAGGUUCUGAAGAAAAUUGCCAAGUACAUUCAGGAACAGAAUGAGAAGAUCUACGCUCCCCAGGGCCUUCUCCUGACGGAUCCCAUUGAGAGAGGACUCAGAGUUUGCAGAUUGAAAUCACCAUUUAUGAAGACAGAGGUAUGAGCAGUGGAAGAUAAAACCAUGGACCCCAAGCCUGAUGAAGUAUUCACUUCCACUGCUCGGCUACAGCUGCCUUCCACUCCAGAGCCCCCGGCUCAGCAGUGGACUUGCCGCAUCAGAGCGUUCCCCUACCUCCUCUCUAGAGCAUCAUUCCUCUCUGCUGCCAGACCUGUGGUGCCAUCUACUUACCAAGACUAACCUUCUAAACUUCUGGCUGGUCAGCAUCCAUUUUGUGGCCUGUGGCAAGCUUUAAGCAGUGGGAUCAUCUUGUUCGUUUCCAUGGACAAGGAAUGGGCAAAGUAAAGCUGUUGCUCUUCAGCAAGUGAACUGGGCAGUUCAGCCCAGUGGGAAGCAGCUGUUUCCCUCCCCACCAGUUAAAUCUUCCGACACAUCAGGCUGCAAGUCUGACGUCAGGGAGUCUGUGCCAGAAACAAGGCCCGCACUCCAGUGCAGGGCAGAGCAGCCUGCAAUACACUCACUGCACACAGUGCCUCUGCCUAGCAGGAAGUGACUCGAGGCACAGAGCAGUCUCAGGUUCCUGAGCUGAUGCUCACCGGGAAUUUAAUGCAGAAAGGUUUUUCUAAUGAUUUAGUUGUUUUUCCUAACCCCCAAUAGCUGGUAUUGUUACUGGGUGCUUUGCUGGUGCCCUGGGAAUCUACUGCUGUCACUGGAGUUCUCCACGCUCGCGGGAAGAGACAGUCUUGCUCGUUCCCUUCAACUGUGUCAGUACAAUAAAAUGGAUGCUGAACCAAUACAUGUAGCCAUCCCUACUCCUCCCCUGAAGGUUAAUAUGUAAAAUGUAAUGAACUGUUUUGUUUCUCUAUGGAUUUAUUAUAUAUAAUUUAUAGCAAAAUGUUGAUUUGAUGGAUUACUCAAUAGUGUAUAAGUUGGUUUCUUAACUCCUGCUGCUGGCAAACUGCUGAAGAGCAGAGCUGUGCAGUAUGUUGUAUUUCCCAUGAAUUAACAUUCCUCAGCAAUACCUGCUACGCUACCUUGGGCAUCUUCUGAGUAAAACUCCCAGCAAACAAAAUUGGCCUAAUAUUUUCUGUUGUCUCCCUCUCCUGUAUAACACGAGAUCUUUACUUAAGCUGGGUUAAACUAGCACGGCCCCCCUGGUUGGAGAGCCACUGUCCAUUGUGGGACUUGUAGAACAAGACAACUGCUGCAACUAGGUGGAGUGUCGAGUUUUCAGUGAUACUGUAGGUGCUAAUCCUGGAGUGGAGAUUCCAGGCUUCCUGUUCAACCACUUCUUUCUUUCUUUCCCCCUCCUCUUUGAGAUCUGUUUCCUGUUUUAAUUGUACAGAAGACUUUUUCUUUGUCUCUCUGAACUGUAAAAGUGCAUUUGCCUUUUGCACCUGUUGCAAUAAUUUUGCAGAAUUAUUAAUGGAUUAGUAAAAUUUUCUUAUACUG